UCAUUUUGUCUAAACCUCUAUAUGGUAUCAGAGCUGGGGACACUGAAGUCAGAAUUGCACUUAGAAUAAGUUUGUCCUGACGGAACCAAAGGUGAUGAGCUGUAGUGGCAGCUGCAUCAGUUGACGUCGGUAGGGGUGGGCAGGUAUGAGUGCCAUCGACAUAGCCAAAGAGGUUAGAGCCGAGGAGGAGAGACUCAAAUUGAGCAUGCCAUGAAGGGAAGUUGGUUGGUGUGAGACGUGCAGUAAUUUGCUGGGUGGCAUUGAUGGCUAUUGGAAAACUAUCAGAGGAAGAAGUGGCCAUAGCAGAAGCGAGAAAGACAGGAAAUACUCGUUGGAGUUUUGAGGCGUUAAUCUGAUACCAUAUAGAGUGGUAUUGGCAGUAACUACCAAGGAUUGAGCAGUGGAGUCAAGCCUUCGAAGAUAUGCCUCAUGACCAAGUAACAGAUCAUGUAAUUCUUCAAAGGAGAGUGAAGACUCUUGGGCUCGAAUUGGGGCAACAAUGUCACGAAAAUCCGAUCCUUAGCCAUGAAGAACAUAUAAGGUGAUGUCAUCUUGAGAUAAUGGGGCAUCGAUGAGAGCAAGCUCAUCGGCAAUGGUUUUUACAGAGUGUAGGUACUCUGUUAAACUGCGAUUGCCACGUUGCAUGAGAGUGAGAUCUUCUUUGAGCUGCAUGACACGAGUCCUGGAUCGACUAGCAUACAGUUUUUUCAGUUUUGUCCAGGCUUGAUGUGACGUCUUUGAGGUUGCUAUGAGUGGUAUCACAGCUGGGGACACUGAAGUCAGAAUUGCACUUAGAAUAAGUUUGUCCUGACGGAACCAAAGGUGAUGAGCUGUAGUGGCAGCUGCAUCAGUUGACGUCGGUAGGGGUGGGCAGGUAUGAGUGCCAUCGACAUAGCCAAAGAGGUUAUAGCCGAGGAGGAGAGACUCAAAUUGAGCAUGCCAUGAAGGGAAGUUGGUUGGUGUGAGACGUGCAGUAAUUUGCUGGGUGGCAUUGAUGGCUAUUGGAAAACUAUCAGAGGAAGAAGUGG
rnacentral:lncRNA from 1 species